AGACUCGGGGCCCCGCGCGCUUGCGCGCCGCCCGCUGCCCGCCGCCCGCCGCGGCUGGGAGUCCGGAGGUUUCAUCUUGUGAUGGUUUCGGUUCGGCUCUCAAAUGGAGGGUGUGAGCUUUGCAGACGUGCCCUAAUUCUGGGUCUGGCGGGGCGACAUUGGGCCCUCUGAGCUGCCACCCUGGCCCUGACGCCCCAUUACUCCUCGUUCCUUCCUCCCCCCAUCUGUUGUCACGCUCUCCCUUUUCCCACAGCUGGCCCCUAUUCAGCUGUGCCGAUUGCCCCACAUCCCUUCUUCCUGCAAAAGGCAGAUGGGAAGGGAGCUCUGUCUGGCCUAUUCCGGACAGAGCUCCGGGCUUCCGAGUGGAGCAUGAGCCCGCGGAAGAGCCACAUGGCUACGUUGAAGACAGCUGGGGCUGCCGCACGCCUCGGGGUUACUGUCGGGCACCCGGCGGGCGGGGCCGGCGCUGGGGCGGGGGAGGGCUUCCUCGCCCUCAGAAACCACAUUCGCAGAAACGUUUUUAACUGGCAAGGUUUCGAGUUCCCAACCACAGCACCCUCAGUGAUGGUUUUCAGAAGACCUUGUUAGCUCCUCUCCUCCAGAGACCCAUCCUUCGCUGACAUCCCACCGAUUUGGGAGCAGGAAAAAACAGACUCCUGCAAAAUACCUCUUCUUCCAGUGCCCUGUACCCCUCUCUACUUACUUCGAGUCCCUGCAGUCCAGCAACAACCCCAAACGAGUGAAGGGAGGAGACAUAGGUUUGUCCAGGCUCUGCCACCGACGGGUGAUUUGGGAUGAGUCCUUCUCCAGUAUCAUUAUCUUCAACUGUAAAACAUGAGGGUUAGUCCGAAUGAUCUCCAAACGCUUCAGCAUUAAAGUUAGGUGAUGAAUCCUAA
rnacentral:lncRNA from 1 species